CAAUAAGCGGAGGAAAAGAAACCAACAGGGAUUGCCUCAGUAACGGCGAGUGAAGCGGCAAUAGCUCAAAUUUGAAAUCUGCUCUUUGAGCCGAAUUGUAAUUUGUAGAGGAUGCUUCGGCUUACGUCUCGGUCUAAGUUCCUUGGAACAGGACGUCACAGAGGGUGAGAAUCCCGUUUGUGGCCGCGACUUCCGCCAUGUGAAGCUCCUUCGACGAGUCGAGUUGUUUGGGAAUGCAGCUCUAAAUGGGAGGUAUAUUUCUUCUAAAGCUAAAUACCGGCCAGAGACCGAUAGCGCACAAGUAGAGUGAUCGAAAGAUGAAAAGCACUUUGGAAAGAGAGUUAAAAAGUACGUGAAAUUGUUGAAAGGGAAGCGCUUGCGACCAGACUUGCCCGCGGAUGCUCAACCGGUCCUUCGGCCGGUGCACUCUUCUGCGGUCAGGCCAGCAUCAGUUCGAGUAGUUAGAUAAAGGCAUCGGGAAUGUGGCUCUCUUCGGGGAGUGUUAUAGCCCUUUGUGCAAUAUAGCUCACUUGGACUGAGGCCCGCGCUUCGGCUAGGAUGCUGGCGUAAUGGUCGUAAGCGGCCCGUCUUGAAACACGGACCAAGGAGUCUAACAUCUAUGCGAGUGUUUGGGUGUCAAACCCGUGCGCGAAAUGAAAGUGAACGGAGGUGGGAACCUUAGGGUGCACCAUCGACCGAUCCUGAUGUCUUCGGAUGGAUUUGAGUAAGAGCAUAGCUGUUGGGACCCGAAAGAUGGUGAACUAUGCCUGAAUAGGGUGAAGCCAGAGGAAACUCUGGUGGAGGCUCGCAGCGGUUCUGACGUGCAAAUCGAUCGUCAAAUUUGGGUAUAGGGGCGAAAGACUAAUCGA
rnacentral:rRNA from 1 species